rnacentral:rRNA from 1 species
AUGCCCUUGAGUCUUACUAAUGCUCAUGAUUUUAUUAGAAAGAAGAGAGCCCGCCGCACUAUGUCCACCGGCCAAGGUUCGAGGCCAGGUCCGGAAGCGGAGGCGGACACGGGGCGCGCCUCGGGCGCUCCUCCGACAAAGGACGCCGACGGGCUAUCUGCCACCAAUUCAGAGGUGGAGAGUGCCCUGAACCACAGGCGUCGCCAGACUGUUCUUCGUGACGCGUGUUUUUCCCCAGAGGCGUUGGACGCCUUUAAUACAGGAGAUGCAUAUCUUCGUGCUGCUCAAAAUGGUCUAGCCAGAGCCAAGUAG